rnacentral:rRNA from 1 species
GACGAACGCUGGCGGCGUGCUUAGCACAUGCAAGUCGAACGGAAAGGCCCUGCUUUUGUGGGGUGCUCGAGUGGCGAACGGGUGAGUAACACGUGAGUAACCUGCCCUUGACUUUGGGAUAACUUCAGGAAACUGGGGCUAAUACCGGAUAGGAGCUCCUGCUGCAUGGUGGGGGUUGGAAAGUUUCGGCGGUUGGGGAUGGACUCGCGGCUUAUCAGCUUGUUGGUGGGGUAGUGGCUUACCAAGGCUUUGACGGGUAGCCGGCCUGAGAGGGUGACCGGCCACAUUGGGACUGAGAGACGGCCCAGACUCCUACGGGAGGCAGCAGUGGGGAAUAUUGCACAAUGGGCGGAAGCCUGAUGCAGCAACGCCGCGUGCGGGAUGACGGCCUUCGGGUUGUAAACCGCUUUCGCCUGUGACGAAGCGUGAGUGACGGUAAUGGGUAAAGAAGCACCGGCUAACUACGUG